UGCAGCCAAAUAUAGUUUGUG
rnacentral:piRNA from 1 species